AGCAGUGGCUUUUGGCUACUCCCUUUUUAUGAAUUGAGGCACGUCUCCAUUCUUAUUCACCACACAUUUCUCUCUAUCUGCCUUCAUGGCUUUUCUUUCGACGACCUGAAACGGUGAACAACGAUUGCCUUUUGGUUGGAGCUCUCUCACGUAUUCUAAUCUGGCCCCACAAAUCUCAGUGAAGAUAAGUCAUGUUAGUGAAGCCCUGAAAAAACACCACAUACCUAUUUCUCUCUCUACCUCUCGGUAAAAGACAAGUCAUCUCAGUAAAAUGCCCUCAAAAACAAAAUCAAAGAGGUACCAUUACCUUCUAGCUAGCGUUUGGAGAAUUGGCAGUACUGAGAAUCAGAGGUACCAUUCCCUUCCACCUAGCGUCUGGAGAAUUGGCAGAGGUACCAUUCCCUUCCAGCUGGUGUCUGGUAAAUUGGCAUGUUUUGUGGAGAGAUGUAUCAUUGGCUUACCAUGCUUCAGGUAAAUAUCAGGAUGUGCCAUAAGGUCACGAAUCUUCCUUAUUUGAUGGCCACGGGGCCUUUUAUGUGUAGGCGGAAUGCCAAUGGUGUAAAAGGGUUAAACCUUUUCUCUUGAUUUAAAUGAUGUAAGCUUACGGGCAAUUUAUUUGAAUGUAAAUUCAUGUUGCAUUCAUUUUA